CAGCCGCCGCGGUAAUACGAAGGGGGCUAGCGUUGUUCGGAUCUACUGGACGUAAAGGGCGCGUAGGCGGGCUGAUCAGUCAGGGGUGAAAUCCCAAGGCUCAACCUUGGAACUGCCUUUGAUACUGUCGGUCUUGAGUUCGAGAGAGGUAAGUGGAACUGCUAGUGUAGAGGUGAAAUUCGUAGAUAUUCGCAAGAACACCAGUGGCGAAGGCGGCUUACUGGCUCGAAACUGACGCUGAGGCGCGAAAGCGUGGGGAGCAAACAGGAUUAGAUACCCGAGUAGUCCCUGUCUCUUAUAC
rnacentral:rRNA from 1 species